rnacentral:antisense_RNA from 1 species
UUCUCUUCUGUAUGUACAUGUGCAUGUUUUUUUCUUCUAAAAUAGUUUUGUUUGUGUUAAUUGUGUGAAUAAGUCUUGAAUAAAUUACUUGAAAGGAGUGCGAGCAGUUACCACCAAAAUAUGGGGACAAGAAGAAUACCAAGAUUAUGAAAUUAAAGUAGAACAUAUUAGAUUAGAAAUUGUAACUUGAAAAUUAGAGAAAUUAGUGGGAAAAAAAAUGAGAGUUAAUGCUAUAAGAAAAAAAAAAGCAUUAAUAACGACUUUUGAAAAAAAGGGGACUCAAAUAGAAAUAAUUUUAUUUUAUUCUCUAAACUAUAAACCUGUAACAGCUGAUCAGCAAAUAUUUGCAUAUAGUUGAUGUAACCAUUUAGUAGUAACGCCGUCAUCAUGAAAGAUCAUUUUAAAACUGGGAGAAAGAAUGACAGAAGGGAUGGUUUGUUUCAAAGCAUCUCUAACUUUGGAGUUCUCUGAUAAUCUUAGAUAACAGCGAAUAAUAUGCUUCAAUAGUCUCGGGGAAGGAGCCUCAUUAUGCUGAGUAAUAACAUUACCAAGAACUUGGCACACAGUAAAGAAUCUUUCAGGAGUAGCGCAAAUAUAAGUAAGGCCAAGAUCAUCCAACAGAAUUUUUUGUAUGAUGAACGUCGCGACAGUCUUGCUAAGUUCGCUUCCAGUUUCCAUCACUCUCAAACAUAGAGGAAUGAUCUCAGUUUGUAAAAGAAAGCUCACAACUUCAGGAUCGUCAACCUUUACAAGGGCGCCAAUAACACCAAGUGAUGUGAGACGGAGAUACUCAAAUGGACGUGAUUUAGUCACAGUAUUUAGAAAAGGAUAAAGAUAUAGUGGAAUAUGAGCUGCAAGAAAGUGAGCUCUUGUUUCCGAAUGGCUUGCAACACACUGUAAUAAGGCUAAACAAUUACAUGUCCGGUUGCUUGCUUGAUUUGAUAAAUUAGGAGGAGAUAAAAGUGGAUAUAUAGAAAUGAUUUCUUGUAAAAGAGCAGUAAUACAACCAAAGCUAUGCCACAUUAGCGGAGCCAAAUCUGGGAAUGUUUCGCGAUAUUUUGAAAGUUUUGAUAAUGCCAUUUCUCUUUUUGAAGAGCAAGUCAUAUCAACUAAAUAUUGAUAAACUUUCUCUCUUUCUUUUUGGAUAAUAUUUUCAUUCCCUUUCAAGUCACCACUAUUAUCUGAUGGUGAUGGUAAAAUUCCUACAUCUCCUGAAACAGAAAUUUGAUUUGGGAUCCCUCCACCUAUUCCAAGUUCUCCUUGAGAAAUUCUCUGUUGUACCUUUCCACUAAUAGAAGCUGAAAGAGAAUUGGAUGGUACUGAAUUAGAUGAUGAUGCCGAAUUAGAGGAUGGCACAGAAGCUGCCAUUGAAUUUGAAGAAUGUAAUGGCAUAGAAGGAGCAGAAGAUGAAGAUGAGGAGGAAGAAGAUGAUGGUGGCGCUGUAGAUGCAGAGGAAGGAGCCAUUAUUCCGCCUCCUGAGUUGUUUAAUCCUCCUUGUGGUAUCAUUUCUUAUUUAUUGAUUCCCAAAAAUUAAAAUUCUACUUUGAUUAACUUUAUUUUAAUAUAAGAUAAAAAAGAAAAAAACAAAAAAGAGAACUGCACAAUGUAUUUGGAUUCUAUAUAAACUCGUUCAAUGGCUUUUCAUUUCUUCGAUUUUAAAAAUCCAUUAACUUAAAAC